rnacentral:rRNA from 1 species
UACGGAGGGUGCAAGCGUUAUCCGGAUUUACUGGGUUUAAAGGGUGCGUAGGUGGGUCUGUAAGUCAGUGGUGAAAUCUCCGAGCUUAACUCGGAAACUGCCAUUGAUACUAUAGGUCUUGAAUUUUCUGGAGGUAAGCGGAAUAUGUCAUGUAGCGGUGAAAUGCUUAGAUAUGACAUAGAACACCAAUUGCGAAGGCAGCUUGCUACAGGGAUAUUGACACUGAGGCACGAAAGCGUGGGGAUCAAACAGG